rnacentral:rRNA from 1 species
GAUGAACGCUGGCGGUGUGCCUAAUACAUGCAAGUCGAACGGGCUCUUCGGAGCUAGUGGCGGACGGGUGAGUAACACGUUGGUACCUACCCCUAAGUGGGGAAUAACUGCCCGAAAGGGUGGCUAAUACCGCAUAAUCCCGCAAGGGUAAAGCAGUAAUGCGCUUAGGGAGGGGCCUGCGUCUGAUUAGCUAGUUGGUAGUGUAAUGGACUACCAAGGCUACGAUCAGUAGCNGGAUCGAGAGGUUGACCAGCCACACUGGGACUGAGAUAC